rnacentral:rRNA from 1 species
UGCGUAGGCGGGCUAAUAAGUCAGUGGUGAAAUCUUCCGGCUCAACCGGGAAACUGCCAUUGAUACUGUUAGCCUUGAGUUAGGUUGAGGUAGGCGGAAUGUGUAAUGUAGCGGUGAAGUGCUUAGAUAUUACACAGAACACCAAUUGCGUAGGCAGCUUACUGGACCUACACUGACGCUGAGGCACGAAAGCGUGGGGAGCGAACAGGAUUAGAUACCCUGGUAGUCC